GUGAACGCUAGCGGCGCGCCUAACACAUGCAAGUCGAACGGGUUUAGACCCGUGGCAGACGGCUGCGUAACACGUUGGAACCUUCCCCGAACUCAGGGAUAACCCCGCGAAAGCGGGACUAAUACCGGAUACACUCGCAAGAGGAAAGAUUUUUCGGUUUGGGAGGGGCCUGCGGCCUAUCAGCUCGUUGGUGAGGUAACGGCUCACCAAGGCAAUGACGGGUAGGGGAUGUGAGAGCAUGAUCCCCCAGAAUGGAACUGAGAGACGGUCCAUACUCCUACGGGAGGCAGCAGUGAGGAAUCUUCCGCAAUGGGCGAAAGCCUGACGGAGCGACGCCGCGUGAAGGAUGAAGGCCUUUCAGGUCGUAAACUUCUGUUCUGAGGGACGAAAUUUUUGACGGUACCUCAGGAGAAAGCAUCGGCAAACCCUGU
rnacentral:rRNA from 1 species